UACGAAGGGGGCGAGCGUUGUUCGGAUUUACUGGGCGUAAAGGGCGCGUAGGCGGCCCUCCUUGUCGCGUGUGAAAGCCCCGGGCUCAACCUGGGAAUUGCGCGCGAAACGGGGGGGCUUGAGUUCGGGAGAGGAGGCGUGGAAUUCCCGAGUGUAGAGGUGAAAUUCGUAGAUAUUGGGAAGAACACCGGUGGCGAAAGGCGGCGCUCGUGGACCGAGACUGA
rnacentral:rRNA from 1 species